GAUGAACGCUAGCGGCAGGCUUAACACAUGCAAGUCGAACGGCAGCACGGGUGCUUGCACCUGGUGGCGAGUGGCGAACGGGUGAGUAAUGCAUCGGAACGUGCCCUGAAGUGGGGGAUAACGUAGCGAAAGUUACGCUAAUACCGCAUAUUCUGUGAGCAGGAAAGCAGGGGAUCGCAAGACCUUGCGCUUUAGGAGCGGCCGAUGUCGGAUUAGCUAGUUGGUGAGGUAAAGGCUCACCAAGGCGACGAUCCGUAGCGGGUCUGAGAGGAUGAUCAGCCACACUGGAACUGAGACACGGUCCAGACUCCUACGGGAGGCUG
rnacentral:rRNA from 1 species